rnacentral:lncRNA from 1 species
CCCCGCCCUCCGUCCGGCCGCCGCCGCACGGCCGAGGGCCGUUUCCCGCGGGUGGACGAGGAGGGCCCGGCCCGCCCGGCACCUUUGAUGACGCGUUCGGUGGUGGAGAGGUGGAGGUUCCUCCCGGACAUGGUCCCCUCGGCCUCCUCCCGGCUCCAGGCGACCGCCAGACGUGCGCCUCCGCCUUCGUGUCCAGCAGUGUCAGCUCCCCGGGGCCACUCAGCCCGCCGUGCUCCGGCCCCGGCUCCUCCGGGAGGCCCAGCCUGCGCUCCCUGCAGCGGACUCCCCCUGGGCUGCCUGCCGCUGCCCCGGCCCGCAGCACCUACCACCAGCUCCUAGGUCCGGCACGGAAAGCGCCGGCGAAGCAGCGGCCAUCUUGUGACCGGGCCGCCGCGACCCGGCAGCAGCUCCCGGGACCGCGAACCUCCUGUCACCCUCACCCUGGGGCCACCUUGCCGGGAGCCCUUGUCUUCCCAGACCCUCCUCACGGCAGCCCUCCCUCCUUUUCUUCUGGUCUUCCGCCCACUCUGUCUCUAGGGAGUCCCUGUCAAUCUGACCAUGCUCCUUUCCGCAGUUACCCUCCCGCUACCAUUCACCAAACCCAUCGAAGCCCUCAAUUUAGUGUUCACAUUUGUUGAGUGCAGUUGGUAUAGGGAGAAGUACGUUCGUGGCCAUGCUAGCUCCAGUCCAGUAGUUGGCGGGCCUCGGAUUCCGGGUGGCCUGAGACUUGGCCCCGUGGCCUCCUCACUUCCUCUCCACGUCCAAGAGAAGGGAGAGCAGCCGCUCCAGGGAGCCACUCGGCCAGACCUCCAAUGUGCAGGGAACUGACCUUCUUAUAAGCCCUGAGUGUCACCUACUCUGCUAGAAGCAACCCCCUCGUCUUCCCCUUUGUUGCAGUGACACAGUACCUGCUUGCCCUGCUCAUGCUUACUGUGGAACACAAUGGGCAAGUCUCUAGAGAGUCUUAACAAUCUAGCUCAUCUCUGGGUUAAAAACUGACCUUUUCCCUUAAAUUGUAAGCUUAGAAUAGAAGCUGUCUUACUGUGACUGUCUUCCCUCACCGAGUAUAGCACCUGGCAAAGUCAAAAGUAUUUUGAGUUUAGCAAUGAUAAUGUAAUAUUGAAACUGAGAUCCAAAGAAACAGGCAAUCCAGUCUUAAGAGUCACUGUGGUGGCCAAUAAGUCAUAUGUGGUUACACACAUUUAAAUUAAAUAGCAUUAAAAAUUUGAAUAUUCAGUUCCUGGAGUGCACUAGCCACAUUUCAAGUGCUCAGUAAUUAUCUUACCGGUCCUGGUAGCAGAGGACAUUUCCGUCAUAGCACCAAGUUCUUUUGGACAGCCCCUAGCUAAAAGAUUAGAAGGGUUAAAGCCUAAUCUCCAUGAAUAUAGGUUUAUGUAUUGGGAGAUCUGGGGAUAUAUAUACUGGAGUCAUCCCCUGAAUUACGCCUUGGAAUUUUGACUUAAGGCCAUUCGUAGUAACCCCAACAAGGCAGGAGCACUUUGGGAGCUGGAUUUAAUUUGGUUCUGUUUUCUUGGGUUUUGACAUCAGGCUUCCACCCAAGAGAAUUGUUCAGAUAUCCUGAAGAAAUUCUAAGUUUAACAGGUAAUGAGAACUCCACACUUCUAUCAAACAGAGCAAAUCUCUAAAGGUCAAAAAUAAACUGGUCCCUGCAGCAUAAUAGAUGUUAAAA